GACGAACGCUGGCGGCGUGCUUAACACAUGCAAGUCGAACGGAUAGGCCCUGCUUUUGUGGGGUGCUCGAGUGGCGAACGGGUGAGUAACACGUGAGUAACCUGCCCUUGACUUUGGGAUAACUUCAGGAAACUGGGGCUAAUACCGGAUAGGAGCUCCUGCUGCAUGGUGGGGGUUGGAAAGUUUCGGCGGUUGGGGAUGGACUCGCGGCUUAUCAGCUUGUUGGUGGGGUAGUGGCUUACCAAGGCUUUGACGGGUAGCCGGCCUGAGAGGGUGACCGGCCACAUUGGGACUGAGAUACGGCCCAGACUCCUACGGGAGGCAGCAGUGGGGAAUAUUGCACAAUGGGCGGAAGCCUGAUGCAGCAACGCCGCGUGCGGGAUGACGGCCUUCGGGUUGUAAACCGCUUUCGCCUGUGACGAAGCGUGAGUGACGGUAAUGGGUAAAGAAGCACCGGCUAAUUACGCG
rnacentral:rRNA from 1 species